AUUGAACGCUGGCGGCAUGCCUUACACAUGCAAGUCGAACGGCAGCGGACCUUCGGGUGCCGGCGAGUGGCGAACGGGUGAGUAAUAUAUCGGAACGUACCUUUCAGUGGGGGAUAACGUAGCGAAAGUUACGCUAAUACCGCAUAUUCUGUGAGCAGGAAAGCAGGGGAUCGCAAGACCUUGCGCUGAUUGAGCGGCCGAUAUCAGAUUAGCUAGUUGGUGAGGUAAAGGCUCACCAAGGCGACGAUCUGUAGCGGAGUCUGAGAGGAUGAUCCGCCACACUGGAACUGAGACACGGUCCAGACUCCUACGGGAGGCAGCAGUGGGGAAUUUUGGACAAUGGGCGCAAGCCUGAUCCAGCCAUGCCGCGUGA
rnacentral:rRNA from 1 species